GAUUAACGCUAGCGGCAGGCAUAAUACAUGCAAGUUGAACGGCAGCACAGGUAGCAAUACUGGGUGGCGAGUGGCGCACGGGUGCGUAACACGUAUGCAACCUACCCUAUACAGGCGAAUAACCUUUAGAAAUGAGGGCUAAUACGCCGUAGUAUUACAGAUGGGCAUCUAUUUGUAAUUAAAGAUUUAUCGGUAUAGGAUGGGCAUGCGUCCCAUUAGUUAGUUGGUAAGGUAACGGCUUACCAAGACGAUGAUGGGUAGGGGAUCUGAGAGGACUUACCCCCACACUGGUACUGAGACACGGACCAGACUACUACGGGAGGCAGCAGUAAGGAAUAUGGGGCAAUGGCCGCGAGGCUGACCCAGCCAUGCCGCGUGCAGGAAGACGGCCUUAUGGGUUGUAAACUGCUUUUAUACGGGAAUAAUAGAGUGUACGCGGACAUUUAUGCAAGUAUCGUAUGAAUAAGCAUCGGCUAACUCCGU
rnacentral:rRNA from 1 species